rnacentral:rRNA from 1 species
UUACCAUGCUAGUCGAACGAUGAUGCCCAGCUUGCUGGGCGGAUUAGUGGCGAACGGGUGAGUAAUACGUGAGUAACCUGCCCUUGACUCUGGGAUAAGCCUGGGAAACUGGGUCUAAUACUGGAUACUACCUCUUACCGCAUGGUGGGUGGUGGAAAGGGUUUUACUGGUUUUGGAUGGGCUCACGGCCUAUCAGCUUGUUGGUGGGGUAAUGGCUCACCAAGGCGACGACGGGUAGCCGGCCUGAGAGGGUGACCGGCCACACUGGGACUGAGACACGGCCCAGACUCCUACGGGAGGCAGCAGUGGGGAAUAUUGCACAAUGGGCGGAAGCCUGAUGCAGCGACGCCGCGUGAGGGAUGACGGCCUUCGGGUUGUAAACCUCUUUCAGUAGGGAAGAAGCGAGAGUGACGGUACCUGCAGAAGAAGCGCCGGCUAACUACGUGCCAGCAGCCGCGGUAAUACGUAGGGCGCAAGCGUUGUCCGGAAUUAUUGGGCGUAAAGAGCUCGUAGGCGGUUUGUCGCGUCUGCUGUGAAAGCCCGGGGCUCAACCCCGGGUCUGCAGUGGGUACGGGCAGACUAGAGUGCAGUAGGGGAGACUGGAAUUCCUGGUGUAGCGGUGAAAUGCGCAGAUAUCAGGAGGAACACCGAUGGCGAAGGCAGGUCUCUGGGCUGUUACUGACGCUGAGGAGCGAAAGCAUGGGGAGCGAACAGGAUUAGAUACCCUGGUAGUCCAUGCCGUAAACGUUGGGCACUAGGUGUGGGGGACAUUCCACGUUUUCCGCGCCGUAGCUAACGCAUUAAGUGCCCCGCCUGGGGAGUACGGCCGCAAGGCUAAAACUCAAAGGAAUUGACGGGGGCCCGCACAAGCGGCGGAGCAUGCGGAUUAAUUCGAUGCAACGCGAAGAACCUUACCAAGGCUUGACAUUCACCGGACCGCCCCAGAGAUGGGGUUUCCCUUCGGGGCUGGUGGACAGGUGGUGCAUGGUUGUCGUCAGCUCGUGUCGUGAGAUGUUGGGUUAAGUCCCGCAACGAGCGCAACCCUCGUUCUAUGUUGCCAGCACGUGAUGGUGGGGACUCAUAGGAGACUGCCGGGGUCAACUCGGAGGAAAGGUGGGGAUGACGUCAAAUCAUCAUGCCCCUUAUGUCUUGGGC